UACGAGGGUGCAAGCGUUAAUCGGAAUUACUGGGCGUAAAGCGUACGCAGGCGGUUUGUUAAGCGAGAUGUGAAAGCCCCGGGCUCAACCUGGGAACUGCAUUUCGAACUGGCAAACUAGAGUCUUGUAGAGGGGGUAGAAUUUCAGGUGUAGCGGUGAAAUGCGUAGAGAUCUGAAGGAAUACCGGUGGCGAAGGCGGCCCCCUGGACAAAGACUGACGCUCAGGUACGAAAGCGUGGGGAGCAAACAGG
rnacentral:rRNA from 1 species